AGCGAACGCUGGCGGCAGGCCUAACACAUGCAAGUCGAACGAAGUCUUCGGACUUAGUGGCGGACGGGUGAGUAACACGUGGGAACGUGCCUUUAGGUUCGGAAUAACUCAGGGAAACUUGUGCUAAUACCGAAUGUGCCCUUCGGGGGAAAGAUUUAUCGCCUUUAGAGCGGCCCGCGUCUGAUUAGCUAGUUGGUGAGGUAAAGGCUCACCAAGGCUACGAUCAGUAGCUGGUCUGAGAGGAUGACCAGCCACAUUGGGACUGAGACACGGCCCAAACUCCUACGGGAGGAAGCAGUGGGGAAACUUGCGCAAUGGGCGAAAGCCUGACGCAGCCAUGCCGCGUGGAUGAUGAAGGUCUUAGGAUUGUAAAAUCCUUUCACCGGUGAAGAUAAUGACUGUAGACGGAGAAGAAGCCCCGGCUAACUUCGUGCCAGCCGCCGCAGUAACAC
rnacentral:rRNA from 1 species